rnacentral:lncRNA from 1 species
AGGAAAUAGGGAAACCUAUAAGUGCUCACCACGCUUUGAAACAAACCUACAGCCCCAAAUCCACUGAAAUGAAUUUACAUGGUCAUCACCAGCCUAGAGAUCCAUUGCUAAUUCUUUACAUCUACAGUAAAACUGUUUUCUGUGAACCAACAGAUCUAUUUAUUUCUAAAUAAAUCCACUGAAACCUACAGCCCCAAAUCUUAUAAAUGUGCGUCGACAGCAGCACAUAACCUAGCACAGCUCAAUGGCCAUGGACACAACGAGCAGUAGCACGGUAAGGAGAGGGAGAGAGUAUACCUUCCUUGGCAUCGUCCAUGACUUGCUCCACGAACUCGACUUGCUCCAUGGCGUCCCCCUGCAUGGAGUUGGAAUACCUAGUUGAUUUUAAUUAUACUAAGAUUCUUUCAUGUGAAACUAAAUAGUGGAAUUAAUACAUGCAGCACACAAUAUAGGCCCGCAGUUUCUGAAAUCCAACCAAAAAAAAGAAGUAGGUUGUCUACCAGGCCAUGCCUUGUACCUUCAGUUCGGUUUCAACUCUGGUAUGAUGUCCCGUGAGAGGAACAAAAAUACAACGAAGUCAAAUAUUGUCGUCGGUAGGACCUUACCUGCCAAUUCAAAAAAGAUAAUGCUAACUUAUCAUGGGAUCAUCAUCAAGAACAUGCACACUGUUGUUCAAAUUCUUACUAUGGCAGGCAUUAUGUUAUUGUUCAACGAU